rnacentral:rRNA from 1 species
AGACGGGGCCCGCACAAGCGGUGGAGCAUGUGGUUAAUUCGACGCAACGCGAAAACCUUACCUGGGCUUGACAUGGAGAGAAUCUCCUGGAAACAGGAGAGUGCCUCGCAAGAGGAGCUCUCACACAGGUGCUGCAUGGCUGUCGUCAGCUCGUGCCGUGAGGUGUUGGGUUAAGUCCCGCAACGAGCGCAACCCCCAUCCCCAGUUGCCAUCAUUAAGUUGGGCACUCUGAGGAAACUGCCCGGGUUAACCGGGAGGAAGCGGGGAUGACGUCAAGUCCUCAUGGCCUUUAUGACCAGGGCUACACACGUACUACAAUGGCCGGUACAAAGGGCAGCGACACAGCGAUGUGAAGCCAAUCCUGAAAAGCCGGUCUCAGUCCGGAUUGGAGUCUGCAACUCGACUCCAUGAAGUUGGAAUCGCUAGUAAUCGCGGAUCAGCACGCCCGCGGUUCCGAAUACGUUCCGGCCUU